UGCGCAGGCGGUUCUAUAAGACAGAUGUGAAAUCCCCGGGCUCAACCUGGGAAUGGCAUUUGUGACUGUAGAGCUAGAGUACGGUAGAGGGGGAUGGAAUUCCGCGUGUAGCAGUGAAAUGCGUAGAUAUGCGGAGGAACACCGAUGGCGAAGGCAAUCCCCUGGACCUGUACUGACGCUCAUGCACGAAAGCUGGGAGCAAACA
rnacentral:rRNA from 1 species